AUCCAGCUGACGCGUACCAAAUAGGAUGAAACACUCGUCCUGGAU
rfam:Schistosoma haematobium scaffold289_37, whole genome shotgun sequence.